GCUGCAGUUUGCUCAAGUCCACACACUUCAGUCGUGAAUCUCGAGGAACUUCAAGUGCAACCAUGAAACGGCUUCUUCUGGUAGUUAUUCUGACAGUGCUUGCCAUCGAAGCGACAUGUAACGAGGAAUUGAACAAUAAUCUGACAACAUCAAAUAAUACAUCAAAUAAUACUACUGAAGACAAACAGGUACAGAAAGGAUUUUUUGUACCGCUAUUUUUUUUGAUGAUCUUCAAGGCUAUAGAAGCAUUAGUGGAGGGAGAAUAGUAGAACUAAAAAGCAACAGUAGAAUGAUAUGAGGUUUUCAUUGGAAGUACGCACCAGAUGUGAAUAUUUUAAUUACCUGAGACUACGUACGAAGUAAAAGAUGGACCAACUAUAUCAAGAAAUUACUAGCGACAACUUGUAUGACAAAAUGCAGAAACAUGUCACUUCUGCAAUUUCUGCGACGACUAUCCCUGAGGAUCUUGCACCAAUUAAUAAUAAAAAAGAAGAAUCUGUGAAGAAACUUGCAGAGAAACCUGUAGAGAAAUCUGUGAAAAAAAAAGAUAGCAACGAGUACUGCGGGACUAACGAGAGCGUGCCAAUCAAGAAUAAUGAUAAGAAAUGAAAAAUUAUUUCGAAGCUUCCGACAGAGAGAGAGGAGAGAUCCUCAUAGCAUAAUAUAGACAAGAGAAAAUAUGUAUGCAAAAUAGUAAGCGCAAUAUGAACACAAUUGUUUAUAUACAAAUAAACAUAGGUUAUUGUAACAU